AGGACGAACGCUGGCGGCGUGCUUAACACAUGCAAGUCGAACGGAAAGGCCCGCUUGCGGGUACUCGAGUGGCGAACGGGUGAGUAACACGUGGGCAACCUGCCCUCAGCUCUGGGAUAACUCCGGGAAACCGGUGCUAAUACUGGAUAUCGACUUCUGCCUCGCAUGGGGUGUUGUUGAAAGUUUUUCGGCUGGGGAUGGGCCCGCGGCCUAUCAGCUUGUUGGUGGGGUGAUGGCCUACCAAGGCGACGACGGGUAGCCGGCCUGAGAGGGCGACCGGCCACACUGGGACUGAGACACGGCCCAGACUCCUACGGGAGGCAGCAGUGGGGAAUAUUGCGCAAUGGGCGAAAGCCUGACGCAGCGACGCCGCGUGGGGGAUGACGGCCUCGGGUUGUAAACCUCUUCGACCGGGACGAAGCGCAAGUGACGGUACCGGUAUAAGAAGCACCGGCCAACUACGUGCCAGCAGCCGC
rnacentral:rRNA from 1 species